rnacentral:rRNA from 1 species
CAGCAGUCGCCGCGGUAAUACGUAGGUGGCAAGCGUUGUCCGGAUUUAUUGGGCGUAAAGCGAGCGCAGGCGGUUCCUUAAGUCUGAUGUGAAAGCCCACGGCUCAACCGUGGAAGGUCAUUGGAAACUGGGGAACUUGAGUGCAGAAGAGGAGAGUGGAAUUCCAUGUGUAGCGGUGAAAUGCGUAGAGAUGUGGAGGAACACCAGUGGCGAAGGCGACUCUCUGGUCUGUAACUGACGCUGAGGAGCGAAAGCGUGGGGAGCGAACAGGAUUAGAUACCCCGGUAGUCCCUGUCUCUUAUAC